AGUGAACGCUGGCGGUGGGCCUAACACAUGCAAGUCGAACGGCAGCACAGUAAGAGCUUGCUCUUACGGGUGGCGAGUGGCGGACGGGUGAGGCAUACAUCGGAAUCUACUUUUUCGUGGGGGAUAACGUAGGGAAACUUACGCUAAUGCCGCAUACAACCUACGGGUGAAUGCAGGGGAUCUUCGGACCUUGCGCGAUUGAAUGAGCCGAUGUCGGAUUAGCUAGUUGGCGGGGUAAAGGCCCACCAAGGCGACGAUCCGUAGCUGGUCUGAGAGGAUGAUCAGCCACACUGGAACUGAGACACGGUCCAGACUCCUACGGGAGGCAGCAGUGGGGAAUAUUGCGCAAUGGGCGCAAGCCUGAUCCAGCCAUACCGCGUGGGUGAAGAAGGCCUUCGGGUUGUAAAGCCCUUUUGUUGGGAAAGAAAAGCAGCAGGUUAAUACCCCGCUGUUCUGACGGUACCCAAAGAAUAAGCACCGGCUAACUUCGUG
rnacentral:rRNA from 1 species